rnacentral:hammerhead_ribozyme from 1 species
AUCCGGAUGAUGAGUCCCAAACAGGACGAAAUACGCAUCCUGGAU